UACCUGGAGUUGGCUGACCCCCAGGCUGGGCUGGGCAAGUAUCUCUUCCAAAGGCUCACCCGCAAGCAUGACUAAGAGC
rnacentral:pre_miRNA from 1 species